rnacentral:lncRNA from 1 species
CUGAUAUUGUUCCCUCCAAAAUGUAUCCUUUCUUGCUAGUUCCCUGUCCCUAUAAAUGUAGCUUUCCUCUCCCCAGUCUGGAGUCUUGUUGCUUUAAUAAAGAAGUGUUACCAGAGAACUGUCUCCAGCAUGUUAUAUCAGGAGAGCUGAAAUCACAAACCCCACGUCACAACAUGAAGAAUCACAGGUUCCAAUCCCUGCCAUACCACCUGCCCUCAGCUUGGUGUUUUGACAAUGAACAUAGGGUACAGGCAAGUGUGUUUUUAUAUAUUUAAUAAUGAUUUUAAUCUGCUCAGUUGGGCUUACUUCUGAGUGGACAAGCAUACAAUUGCACUCCAGUUGCCCACAUAAAAUUGCAGUUCUGAACACAUGCACACUAUGGAAACAGUGGGCUAACUUUUGAGUAAGUGCAUAGGAUUGUACUGAAAAUCUUAACAUAUGCAUUUUGUCUGCUAGAUGCUGAUGGAGUUCUAAGGGAGGUUUUGUUUUUAAGUUGCUAUUUAUAGUUAAAAGGGAAGUCAUCUUUAACAUUUUCCUGUCGUAGGAACCAACUCCUAGAGGCUAAGGUCCCUUUGCUCCCCAAUAAAAUAUAUGAGGGGGCAAGGUCCCCCCAGAGUUGAUGGGCAUUGCUGUUUAAAUGGUGUGUGUGCGGUGCACCUUGUGAUUGUGCAAUAACACCCCUAAACCAAAUCUACUUAAGAAGAUAAUAGUGUGUCCUCAUUUAAGUAUAGAGACAGCCUCAUCAAUUUAAUUUAGCCCUCCUUGAUUAAAUGGCUGCCCACCAGCCAACAUUUAAUUGGUUAAUUUACCAAACAGUACCAAACCUUAGUGAUAGCAGCAAUAAACUCCCCAACACUGCAACCCCCUUGCUUAUUGUCAAGAAAACUAGGCAGUGACUUGCAUUCCCUUCCCUUCCUUCAGGUUGCUCCAAUGACUUGUAGAACUAACAGCUGCCUCUUUUUAUCCAACUCCCAACUGAAGGCAGCCCUGUAUAUAGGGAAGGUUUUUUAAAAAAUGUUUAAUGUUUUAUUAUGUUUUAUAUAUGAUGGAAGCUGGUCAGAGUGGCUGGGGCAACCCAAUCAGAUGGACACGAUAUAAAUAGUAUCAUCAUCAUCAGUGCUUUUUUCUAGGGGGAUGCAGGGGCAGGCAGACCCCUAAACAUUUUGUGAAUCUAAGUUUGGCCUCAUUGAGGGGCAGUAUUUCAAUACAGUGGUUCCUCGGGUUACAGACGCUUCAGGUUACAGACUCCGCUAACCCAGAAAUAGUACCUCGGGUUAAGAACUUUGCUUCAGGAUGAGAACAGAAAUUGUGUUCCAGCGGCGCGGCAGCAGCGGGAGGCCCCAUUAGCUAAAGUGGUGCUUCAGGUCAGGAACAGUUUCAGGUUAAGAACCGACCUCCAGAACGAAUUAAGUUCUUAACCGGAGGUACCACUGUAUGAGUAAGAAAUUGAGAGUACCCCUAAACAUUUUCUAGAAAAAAGCAGAUGAUGAUGAUGAUGAUAUGUCCCUAUUUUCAUUGGAGAGAUAUUGGAGGGUAUGUGAGAGAGGGAAUUUGAUGCAUUAUUGCAGCUAAAAAGUUAUCUAAAUAGGAAGGUGACUUUCACCCCUCCCCCAAUAAUUUUUAUUGUUUUUCAUUUAAAUACAAGAACAACCUCUAACUACAGUAACUUGCCCAAUGGUACAUUCUUAUUAAGUUUCAUAUGCAGUACAUAGUACACAAGCAAUACAUUUAUUUAUGUAUUCAAGUAGCCUCUCCACAGAGAUUCUUGUGUUGAUGAUGGUGGAAUUAAAAUAUUUUCCGUCUCAUUUAUAAAGGAAAAGAAAGGAAGUCAGCAUCCCACCAAAAGUUUCCAUCGAUGAAGUGCCUUUAAUUACCCUUCUGUGGUGAGUAAGGUGUUCUGGUAGAGCCACAUUCCAAAUACUAUUUAAGUAGACUUCAAUGGGGAUUUCUAGGGACUGUUUCCAAUAUCAGGCUAUUGUUCAAAUCAAAUACCUUUAUUGGCAUCACAGUAUAAAACAUUUCAAGUCACUGGGAUAAUUAAAAGGACAAGGGUGAAGUUGUUGAGGGUCAUAAGGUCACACUGUGAUUGUGUGCACUUAGAUAUUCUGCUUCGCCCUGUCUGUUCCCCAAAAGGAUGAAUCGUUAGGAAACCUUUCUGGUAAGGUUGUGGCUAAAAAGGAGGCUACUAAAGCAGUGAUAUCUUUGUCCCGGGAUCUGCCAGGAGAAACCUCAUUUGACUUCUUCUUGGAGUUAUAGGCCGGAAGUCCAACAUUUUGCUCAGCAUCAGUUGGCGAGGUCUGCUGUGUAGAGAGCAAUCUAAGAGAAUGUGGUCCAUUGAAUCAGGUACUUCUUGGUUGCAGGCACACAAACAGGCUUGAUAUGGAGUAUGUGAGAAUCUGCCUUUGGUCACUGCAGAAGGGAAAGCAUUUAAUCUCAUGAGCAUAAAGGUUCCUUAAUGGGAGGGGAGUAGUAGAUCCUUUAGAUAUUUGGCACAGGUUCCAAUAGGGUGUUGUGAUACCUAAGGCCUCCGGAGAACAGAAUCUUGGAGAAUGAGGUAACAAGCGCUGUCUUUCGUGGUCGUAGAGCAGCUGCUUGAUUAUUUGGAAUAUGUAACUUUUGUCACAUGCUUCAAGGCUCUUGAGAGCAAUGCCCAAACUACGAAUUUUAUCUUGAAUUGCUCUAUACCAGCCAAAUGAAAUGCGAUCUUCAAGCACAGAGGUUAAGAAGGAGUUAGAUGUUGUUCUGAAGUGGACUUUCAGCCAGGCCUUGGUUGUAGUCAGCCAUGCUUUGAUUUCCAUCAGAUGUUGACCGAUUUCAACACAUAAGGCUAAGUAACUCAUGUAUUUAGGGGCACCAAGGAUCUUAAAAAGAAAAGUCGCUUGAAUUUGUUCAACUUCUCUAUUAAAUGCUUGUAUCCAAAUUGGAAUGCUGUACAAUAACUGAGAAAGGACCUUGGCAUUAAAAAUAUUUAUUGCAGCAGGGACCAUCCGGUUGCCUCUGAGAAAGAAAAAAUGAAGAAUCCCAGAUGUGGUGCAUUUUGCCUGGAUGAUCAUUUGGCAUCUGUGUGUUGUCCAGUUUAAAUUUGACUGGUAGAAUAUCCCUAGGUAUUUGAAAUAUUUUACCUGGUCAAUGGGGUGAUUAUCUAGUCUCCAUUUGACAAUUUGACGACUUUAAGAAAAAAUCAUAAUUUAAAUUUUUCGUAAUUCCCAGGGAGUUGAUCUGGCAGAAGGAAGAAAACAAGUUCAGAAAUCUUCUAAGGCCGACCUGGGUAUGAGAAAGAAUUGUGGUAUCGCCCACGUAUAAAAGCAGUUUUAUUUUAUGUUGGCAUAAUGUCGGUGGAUGUCCAUUUACAUCUUUAGAGUGAUGAGCCAGGUCAUUUAAGAAGAGGUUGAAUAAGUGGGGUGCCAAGACGCAUCCUUGCUUUACUCCUUUGGUUAUAUUUAUUCUUUUUAUCAGCUCGCCUUUAGAGUUACAUUUAAUUUGACAGAAUGUAGCAGUAUGUAAUUUUUUAAUUAAAAACAGCAGGCAUUGGUCAAUUCCCAUUUUACAUAAAUUGUGCCAAAGUAGAUCACAGGGGUCAGAAGCUCCUUUUAAGUCUAGGAAGGCUACGUAAAGUUCCUUCCUCCCGUUUUCCAUGAAUUUUUCUGUGAGGUGUGAAAGGACUAUGCAGUGAUCAGUGGUUGAUUUGCCAUGGCAAAAGCCUAUUUGUUCAGGCCCAAGAACCUUGUUAGAUUUCCUUUCCAAAAAUCAGGUAUACAUUUUGCCAAGGUUUGAUAGGAGACUUAUUGGACAGUAAUUCUCAGGCAGAUUCGGGUCACCUUUUUUAAAAAUAGAAGUGAUGAUGGAGUUUAGCCAAACAUCUGGUAAUCCCGAAUUUGUCAAUUAAAGUAAAUAAGUUGGCUAAUAGAGGGGCCCACCAAUCCGGAAUGUGCUUAAAAAGUUCACCAGGGAUCCCGUCUGGUCCUGGGGAUUUAUUUGAUCUUAACUUCUUGAUUAUUGAGAGUAUUUCAUCUGGUUCCACUAGGGUCCAGUCUGGAAGAUGUACAUAACUGGGCCCAUUUUGCAUAGCUGAUAGAUUUGUUGGCGCUGUAAAUAUUGCAGAAUAGUGAUUAAACCAGCUAGAGGCAGGAAUGAUGGUGAUUGUUUGGUUGCUACCAUCUUGAAGGGCACCAGAAACUAUCCUCAAUAAUUCCUUGCUGUCCUUUACUUGAAUUGCCCUGAGCAGAUGAUGCCAACGGCCUUCAUAGAAAGAUUUCUUUUUCUUAUGGAAGAGCUCUGAAAGGUGUUUUUUUUUUCAUAUUAGGUAUUCUUUUAAAUGGCUCAGGUUCUUCCUGGAUUGGAAUACAGUGGCACCUCUAGAAUCAUAGAAUCAUAGAACUGUAGAGUUGGAAGGGACCCUGAGGAUCAUCUAGUCCAACCCCCUGCAAUGCAGGAACAUGCAGCUGGUCCAUACAGGGAUCGAACCUGCAACCUUGAGUGUUAUCAGCACCAUGGUCUAACCAACUGAGCUAUCCAGGUUCUGGAGCCCCGUUCGCAUCUAGAAGCAAACGUAACCCAUGUCCGUGUGUCUGCGCGGAUUACAUUUGGCGCUUCUACGCAUGCGCAUGACGUCAUUUUGAGCGUCUGCGCAUGCGCAAGUGGUGAAACCCGGAAGUAACGUACUUCCGGGUUGCUGCGGAGCGCAACUCGAACGCGCUCAUCCCGAAGCAUAUUCAACCCGAGGUAUGACUGUAAUUGAAAUGCUCGUCUCAGAAGAGAUUUCUCAUGAUGGCAUUCUUUGUCAAACCAUGAGACAGCUUUACGUGUUUGUCAGGCUAUUGUUAAUCAGGCUGCUAACAGAAUAAAUAGUAAGUCUCUGCAUUUAAGGUUAUUUUUUGAAUUUGGGUCUAAUGAUAAUAAGGCGAGAGCUGAGUUGGGUGAGACAUUGCUGUGUAAUGUUAAUAAAAUAUGAAAUAAUGUGAGACACCUUUUUCCCAAAGGAGUACACUGACAUGCAACUCCACCAGGCAUGAAAACAUCGGUCUCUCUCUCUGCAGCCUUUCUAGCAUAGGGGAGAGAGAGAUGCUGGUGUUUAUUUUGGCUAUAGGAGGGGCAGUUUGUAAAACACUUAAUUUUUUUAGGUGGCUCUUCUGUAAUACUUUGAAUUAAACUAGAUUAGGAUUGUAUUCAGCGAAGUCCAACUCAGAGUAUACCUAUUUACAUUAAUGGACCUUAUCCACUAAUUUCAAUGGGUCUUCUCUGAGUAGGACUUAGCUGGUUACAACCCUAACAUUUAUAAGAAGUGUGGAGUCCCCCUGUUCAUUGUUCCAGUCAGCAUAUAUGCCCUAUUUCAAGAUACUCCAUUCCAUCUAUCCUCCCAAGAGUCAACAUCCCAUGACCACUAACCAUGCUCACUCUUCAUUUGGCUACGUAGGUCAUUUCCUUGUCCACUUUAGGGUUUGUUUGUUGGUUGGUUGGUUUUAAAUGUUGAUGUUGUUCUGCAAACCUCAGGACUUCACUGAGUGUACGUCCCAUCCUGUGCAGAGGUGGUGCCAUUUUGGCUGCAAAUGCAUUGGCACUUGUGCCUCAACGUAAGAAAUAAAUUAUUGCUCCCUUCCCACAGGGCAUGCUUGCAAGAAGGCAGGUCCAGAGUAGUGAGUUGUGCAGAUGUAGAACAUGCAACCCCCUCCAAGGAUGAGCAAUUCUGCUAGGUCUUUGUAUCAGGAUGGAUUAAUGCAUACUUGAUACAGGGAUAGGUCAAAAUUCUCUUCCGCAGUGAAGCCUAGAAGUAGUUAAUCUGUAACAGCCUCUACUGAGAUGAGCAACUGGGCUAAGAAAAUGCUCUCUUGCUUCUCAAGGCAGAGUUUGAAAAUUUCUGGUUGACAUAAAGUUAAAUUAAGAGAUGCAUACUACAAAAUACUGAGUCUCUCUGCUGAAUCCUUUAGAAUUAAAAGGAUUUUGACAAAAGCCAUGCCAGGGUACUUAAUAUGAACAAAAGAUAACAGGCUUGGAGGUUUCCUGAAAAUUGGGAGUUGGAAAGUGGGUGCACACUUUCUUUUGAGUGGUUUGUAAAACACAUGUCAUUGACCUGUAAAGAUACUUACAGAGUGUCUCAGAAGCUGUUGAUUUGUGAUGCUAAAGGCAGCAAAAUUAUUGGUUGCUGUAGCUUUCCUUGUGGGAUUUUCCUCCUCGGGUGCCAAAAUACCUUGCUUGGCCUUGGGUACUAUACACCUUGAUUGUGUAGGACAGGUGUGUGUUGGGGGGAGUGCCAUUUGGUGCUCCACCUUAGAAGAAGGAAGUCUUACACUGGUCCCAAGUGCAACUACAGAGCUGGUAUAGUCUUCUAGGUAAAUAGAUAUUUAGUGAAAUGCUUAAGCCAGGCAUGUCCAAAGUCCGGGGGCCUACCUAAUGUGGCUCGCUGGUUGGUUUAAUCCAACCCCUGUGGCAGUUUAUUUCCUGGGGUAAAAUCCUAAAAAAAACACCCCUCCAAUUCUAAAAAAAAGCUCAACAAUUUAAACUCUAAAAAAAGGUCAACAACUUUGGUUGGUCCUUUGGUCAGCCCCACGGCCCUUCACUUCAUCAAAUCUGGACCUCUUUGAAAAAAAGUUUGGACACCACUGGCUUAAGCUUUAAAGCUGUAGGCCAGAGAUUGUUGGGCUCUCUCAGUUCUCAUCAGCCGUUCUGGCCGACGGUCUGGGACAAAGGCCGCUGUAGCCCAGAAACACACCCACAAAUCAUGUUCUAAGCAACCCAGCUUACAUUUUAAAAGCCGUUUUGAUGCUGGGAUUGUCAAAACAAUUGGCAUCAAAUCUUUGCAAAUCAUUAUGUUGCAGCAAUUCCUAUAAUCCUUGCAAAGUACCGAAUCACAGAGGAGGCGUCUACUAUCCAAAGCAGGAAGUUUCCUAGUGGAUUGCACACCUUCUUUAAACCUUCCCCUUCCUUUUUUGUUCCUAGAAGAGUCUUCACCAACAUGGCCUCUGCAUAUUUCAUAUCCUCCAAGUGUCCUGAUUUUUCAGUGCUGGAAUUACAAAAGCAAUCCUGGCUUCUGAUUUGAUCCCAGAACGUCCCAAUUUCCCCUGCCAGUGCUGCUGCUGCUGCUGAACUUAGGGGGAAAGGAUGAGCCAUCUCAAACUGCGACUGUGAGGGAGCACCCCUUUGCCUCUCCUGGUGCUGCCACUUCCUCCCCAUGGCAGCUCUUAGUGGCUGCCGGAGAGCGGGCGAGGAGGAGGAGGAGAGGCGGCCCCUGCCCCUGAGACCCAGCCCCACAUGACACACUGGCUCUGAGAAGGCAGGGCCACCCUGGGCAGGAAGAAAGGGGGAGAAGAGCACAAGAAGGCUUGGGGUUGUUUUAUUUUUUUAAUGCUUUUUGCCCCUGCGUCCAAUCUUGGCCCUUUCCAAAAUUUAUUUAUGGUGUGUGUUUUUCUUUUUGUAAAUCUACCAAAGAAUAAAAUAAAACCGGGAUUAAGUGGUUUUCUCAGCAUGGUGUAGUAGUGCUGGUGGCACUCGCCCUUCUACUGAUAGGAAAUGCUCUGCAAGGGGUGGGGACACACAAAAAUGGGGCAUCAAGGAGGGUCAGUUCCUGGGGAGUGAAGAAUGUCCUUAUUUUCACCUGAGGGUAUGAUACUUGAUGGGAGUGGUAGUCCAAAACAUAUGAGAGCGCCAUGUUGGCAAAGUCUUGUCUACUCUAGACAAUAAAUAAAUUUAGACACC